CUGCUGACCAACUACGCCGCCCCCGGCCCCGCACUGGCGUCGUAGACGUUCCCGCAGCCAACUUUUAAGGGACCAGACGCUGUGUUACGCGCUGCGGUUAUAAAGCUAAUCGGUUUUGUUGAGCUCACGAAUGUCCAGGCUAAAAUAUCUCGGAUUUUAUGUGUUUUGUCAUAAUGGGAUGCCAACUACCUAAAUAUGCAACUGUUUUUCAUAAAGCUAUUGGGUUGUGUUAUGAAGGUGAAUCAGUGAUCUGAAAUUCUGGGGCUGGAUUGGCACCUUUGGAAACAGUACAGAGAAGAACAUUGAAAACAGGUUAAUCUGUUUUCUCUAAUCAAACACUUAAUCAUCCAGUCUCCUCCCUGCGUUAUGGAUUCAUGAAUGUGAAGUGAGGAGAGUUGCUCAGUCAAGGUUUCUCUUCUUUUCUCCCAUGCAAAAUCCAAGUGGCAAAAUCUAAUGCCCCUUGGAUCCGUGGCAAAAUCGAGAAAGUAAUAACUCAGAAUCCCAGAGUCCUAGAGUCAGAAGAUGCGAAACCUGGGACCUCAAGACAUGGAUGCUUGCACUGCCCGACCGUCAGGAAGAUCAAAUUAAAUACAAUGCCUGAAAUAUAGGCAUUAUUCAGCAAUAUCAAGGCAACUACAACUAAUCCUAAUUGAUAUGAAGAUUACCUGGCUUUGCCUCUGUUUCAUAGACAUUUCACUGUGGAUUCGCAUUUCAGCUACAGGGAAGCUGCAAAAUUAAUCCUAUUCACUUUGCUUACUUUUUAAUAAAACUGAGAAGAAAAAUUUUAGUCAGAAAAAAGGCUGAAUUUAUUGAUUAAAAUAAAAUCUGGAGGUUCA